rnacentral:rRNA from 1 species
GACAGAGGUGCCGAGCGUUAGGCGGAAUCACUGGGCUUAAAGCGUGUGUAGGCGGACCGUUAAGUGCCUUGUGAAAUCCCCCGGCUCAACCGGGGAACGGCUGGGCAUACUGGCGGUCUUGAGUCACCCAGGGGCUGCCGGAACAAAUGGUGGAGCGGUGAAAUGCGUAGAUAUCAUUUGGAACGCCAAUGGCGAAAGCAGGCGGCUGGGGGUGAUCUGACGCUGAGACACGAAAGCCAGGGGAGCGAACGGGG